AUUGAACGCUGGCGGCAUGCCUUACACAUGCAAGUCGAACGGCAGCAUGAUCUAGCUUGCUAGAUUGAUGGCGAGUGGCGAACGGGUGAGUAAUACAUCGGAACGUGCCCUGUAGUGGGGGAUAACUAGUCGAAAGAUUAGCUAAUACCGCAUACGACCUGAGGGUGAAAGUGGGGGACCGCAAGGCCUCCUGCUAUAGGAGCGGCCGAUGUCUGAUUAGCUAGUUGGUGAGGUAAAGGCUCACCAAGGCGACGAUCAGUAGCUGGUCUGAGAGGACGAUCAGCCACACUGGGACUGAGACACGGCCCAGACUCCUACGGGAGGCAGCAGUGGGGAAUUUUGGACAAUGGGCGAAAGCCUGAUCCAGCAAUGCCGCGUGUGUGAAGAAGGCCUUCGGGUUGUAAAGCACUUUUGUCCGGAAAGAAAUGGCUCUGGUUAAUACCUGGGGUAGAUGACGGUACCGGAAGAAUAAGGACCGGCUAACUACGUG
rnacentral:rRNA from 1 species